UGGCGGCGUGCUUAACACAUGCAAGUCGAGCGGUAAGGCCCCUUCGGGGGUACACGAGCGGCGAACGGGUGAGUAACACGUGGGCAACCUGCCCCUAGCUCUGGGAUAACCCCGGGAAACCGGGGCUAAUACCGGAUAUGACUCUGGAGGGCAUCCUCCAGGGUGGAAAGGGUUUACCGGCUAGGGAUGGGCCCGCGGCCUAUCAGCUUGUUGGUGGGGUAACGGCCUACCAAGGCGGCGACGGGUAGCCGGCCUGAGAGGGCGACCGGCCACACUGGGACUGAGACACGGCCCAGACUCCUACGGGAGGCAGCAGUGGGGAAUAUUGCGCAAUGGGCGAAAGCCUGACGCAGCGACGCCGCGUGAGGGACGAAGGCCUUCGGGUUGUAAACCUCUUUCAGCAGGGACGAAGCGAGAGUGACGGUACCUGCAGAAGAAGCACCGGCUAACUACGUGCCAGCAGCCCGCGGUAAUACGUAGGGUGCAAGCGUUGUCCGGAUUUAUUGGGCGUAAAGAGCUCGUAGGCGGUCUGUUACGUCGGUUGUGAAAACCCGGGGCUCA
rnacentral:rRNA from 1 species